ensembl:snoRNA small nucleolar RNA, H/ACA box 54
UUGCACUGUUCGUAACCUUUUGACAGCAUUUUUCUGCAAAUAGGUUCCAUUCCAGUGCUACAUUAAAUCCAGUAAUGGAAGGCUGACAAACUCCCAUGUCCCUUCUGUAUCUGGAGACAAAG